GGCUUAUUGAUUGAAGAUUUUAAGUCUAGCCUGCCCCCUGAUGAAUUUUAAUGGCCGCAGUAUUUUGACUGUGCUAAGGUAGCAUAAUAAUUAGUUUUUUAAUUGAAAGCUAGAAUGAAUGGUAUUAUGAAAAAAUUACUGUCUCUUUUAAAAAAUUAAAAUUUUAUUUUUAAGUUAAAAAGCUUAAAUAUAAUUAAAAGACGAGAAGACCCUAUAGAAUUUUAUUUAAAUUAAUUUUUAGUAAAUUAGUAUAUAAAAUUUAAGAAUAAGUUUAUAUUUAGUUGGGGUGAUUAGAAAAAUUAAGUAUCUUUUUUUUAUAAUAACAUUAAUUUAUGGUUAUAUGAUUCAUGUUAAUGAUUUAAGAAUAAAUUACCUUAGGGAUAACAGCGUAAUUUUUUUUUAGAGUUCUAAUCAAAAAGAAAGAUUGCGACCUCGAUGUUGGAUUAAAAUUUAUUUUUGGUGUAGUAGCUAAAAUAUUAAGUCUGUUCGACUUUGAAAAUUUUACA
rnacentral:rRNA from 2 species